CCUGUAAUCCUCGAGGGACCACCUGUGGCGAAGGCGCCUCACCAGAACGGCUUCGACAGUGAGGGACGAAAGCUGGGGGAGCAAACCGGAUUAGAUACCCGGGUAGUCCCAGCCGUAAACUAUGCGCGUUAGGUGUAUCGGUGACCACGAGUUACCGAGGUGCCGAAGGGAAACCGUGAAACGUGCCGCCUGGGAAGUACGGUCGCAAGGCUGAAACUUAAAGGAAUUGGCGGGAA
rnacentral:rRNA from 1 species